rnacentral:rRNA from 1 species
AUUAAACGCUGGCGGCAUGCCUUACACAUGCAAGUCGAACGGCAGCACGGGAGCUUGCUCCUGGUGGCGAGUGGCGGACGGGUGAGUAAUACAUCGGAACGUGCCCUGGAGUGGGGGAUAACGCAGCGAAAGCUACGCUAAUACCGCAUAUUCUGUGAGCAGGAAAGCAGGGGAUCGCAAGACCUUGCGCUCUAGGAGCGGCCGAUGUCGGAUUAGCUAGUUGGUGGGGUAAAGGCUCACCAAGGCGACGAUCCGUAGCGGGUCUGAGAGGAUGAUCCGCCACACUGGGACUGAGACACGGCCCAGACUCCUACGGGAGGCAGCAGUGGGGAAUUUUGGACAAUGGGCGGAAGCCUGAUCCAGCCAUGCCGCGUGAGUGAAGAAGGCC